rnacentral:pre_miRNA from 1 species
UGGUGUUCAUGAUGAUGAUGGUGGUAGUGGUGGUGGUGGUAACAUAAUUAAAAUGAUCAAUGAUCUUCAUUAUCACAUUCAUUAUUUGACAUAAUUACCAUCAUCAUCAUCAUCGUCGUUG